CCGACUGCUAUUUGGGUGAGGAUAAGCCAUGCGAGUUGAAUGGGAAACCUAAAGUUCCCAUGGCAAACUGCUCAGUAACACAUGAUCAACUUACCCUAUAGAGAAAAAUAACCUCGGGAAACUGAGGAUAAUGUUUCAUAGUUGAAUUGGCUUGGAAAAGUUUUUCGACGAAAGGGGUAAAAAAAAUGGUUUUUAUCUGCUAUAGGAUAGGAUCGUGUUCGAUUAUGGUUGUUGGUGAGGUAAUGGCUCACCAAGCCGAUAAUCGAUAGGGGCCGUGAGAGCGGGAGCCCCGAGAUGGGUACUGAGACAACGACCCAGGCCUUACGAGGCGCAGCAGGCGCGAAACCUCCGCAAUACACGAAAGUGUGACGGGGUUACCCAAAGUGUUCAAUUUUGAACUGUGGUAGGUGAGUAAUGUUCCCUACUAGAAAGGAGAGGGCAAGGCUGGUGCCAGCCGCCGCGGUAAAACCAGCUCUUCAAGUGGUCGGGAUAAUUAUUGGGCUUAAAGUGUCCGUAGCCGGUUUAGUAAGUUCCUGGUAAAAUCGGGUAGCUUAACUAUCUAUAUGCUAGGAAUACUACUAUACUAGAGGGCGGGAGAGGUCUGAGGUACUACAGGGGUAGGGGUGAAAUCUUAUAAUCCUUGUUGGACCACCAGUGGCGAAGGCGUCAGACUGGAACGCGCCUGACGGUGAGGGACGAAAGCCAGGGGAGCGAACCGGAUUAGAUACCCGGGUAGUCCUGGCCGUAAACGAUGCAUACUAGGUGAUGGCACGGCCAUGAGCCGUGUCAGUGCCGUAGGGAAACCGUUAAGUGUGCCGCCUGGGAAGUACGGUCGCAAGGCUAAAACUUAAAGGAAUUGGCGGGGGAGCACCACAAGGGGUGAAGCCUGCGGUUCAAUUGGAUUCA
rnacentral:rRNA from 1 species